rnacentral:misc_RNA from 1 species
AACGCACAUUGCACUCCUUGGUAUUCCGAGGAGUACGCCUGUUCGAGCGUCAUUACACUCUCAAGCGCUGCUUGGAUUUGAAUCACUGCCGUGGCAGGAUUCCAAUAUCGUUGGCAAUUGACCAUCUGUGACGACUCACUCCGAGUUAAUUCGCCGGAACCCUUCUUUCAAGUUGACCUCGGAUCAGGCGGGGAUACCCGCUGAACUUAA